rnacentral:rRNA from 1 species
UACGAAGGGGGCUAGCGUUGUUCGGAAUUACUGGGCGUAAAGCGCGCGUAUGCGGUGAUCUUUGUCAGAGGUGAAAUCCCGAGGCUCAACUUCGGAAUUGCCUUUGAAACGGGAUCGCUUGAGUCCGAGAGAGGAUGGCGGAAUUCCUAGUGUAGAGGUGAAAUUCGUAGAUAUUAGGAAGAACACCGGUGGCGAAGGCGGUUCUCUGGGCCUUACCUGACGCUGAGGAGCGAAAGCGUGGGGAGCGAACAGG